UACGGGGGGGGCAAGCGUUGUUCGGAAUUACUGGGCGUAAAGGGCUCGUAGGCGGCCAACUAAGUCAGACGUGAAAUCCCUCGGCUUAACCGGGGAACUGCGUCUGAUACUGGAUGGCUUGAGAUUGGGAGAGGGAUGCGGAAUUCCAGGUGUAGCGGUGAAAUGCGUAGAUAUCUGGAGGAACACCGGUGGCGAAGGCGGCAUCCUGGACCAACACUGACGCUGAGGAGCGAAAGACAGGGGGGCAAACGGG
rnacentral:rRNA from 1 species